rnacentral:rRNA from 1 species
GACGAACGCUGGCGGCGUGCUUAACACAUGCAAGUCGAACGGAAAGGCCCUGCUUUUGUGGGGUGCUCGAGUGGCGAACGGGUGAGUAGCACGUGAGUAACCUGCCCUUGACUUUGGGAUAACUUCAGGAAACUGGGGCUAAUACCGGAUAGGAGCUCCUGCUGCAUGGUGGGGGUUGGAAAGCUUCGGCGGUUGGGGAUGGACUCGCGGCUUAUCAGCUUGUUGGUGGGGUAGUGGCUUACCAAGGCUUUGACGGGUAGCCGGCCUGAGAGGGUGACCGGCCACAUUGGGACUGAGAUACGGCCCAGACUCCUACGGGAGGCAGCAGUGGGGAAUAUUGCACAAUGGGCGGAAGCCUGAUGCAGCAACGCCGCGUGCGGGAUGACGGCCUUCGGGUUGUAAACCGCUUUCGCCUGUGACGAAGCGUGAGUGACGGUAAUGGGUAAAGAAGCACCGGCUAACUACGUGCCAGCAGCCGCCGUAA